GUCUAGCGCUCAUUGUAAAGCAUAUUUUGAUACUGGGUGGCUUGUGUUCCUGAACAGCCCUGCCCAUUUGAAACCUCCCACAUUAUAACAGCACAUGGGCUUUCUUUUUCAAACAAAAUGGAAGUAGUUUCUCCCAACUGGAGCACCCUGAUAAAAC
rnacentral:lncRNA from 1 species